AAUAAAGUGCCUGAUUAAAAGGAUUAUUCUGAUAGAAUAAAUUAUGUAAUUUUUUUACCUUUAUUAAUUUA
rnacentral:tRNA from 1 species